rnacentral:lncRNA from 1 species
GAAGCAAAAUCGUGAACAUCCAUCGCUUGGAACUCAAUUUUGCAGCACAAUGCUCAUACAAUCGCGGCUGGACGGCCACAUCGACCCGAAUUCUGACGUCCAAGGCAGCGCCGGGAGAGCCGCAAGAACGGCUAGAAUUCCUGGAAAGAUCAAAUUCAAGGCCGAUCUGGAUGGCCUUGAUUUAAGUGGAUAUGGGAUCGAGGCAUUUUUGUAAAGGCAAACACGACUGGAAGUACCGAGAAUUAUGCUGACAUUGUGAUUUUGGCAUGCACGAGGUUACAUGAUCACAAACUGAACGACUAGGUUUGUAAAUACUUCAAAUCAAGCAGACCAUGAUCAAACUAUUGGCUCAGCAGUGUAAAUCAUUCAUAUCUUUCGGUUUGAUAAAACGGUGAAUUUGGCACGUA